rnacentral:rRNA from 1 species
UACGUAGGGUGCAAGCGUUGUCCGGAAUUAUUGGGCGUAAAGAGCUCGUAGGCGGUCUGUCGCGUCUGCUGUGAAAACUCGGGGCUUAACCCCGGGCCUGCAGUGGGUACGGGCAGACUAGAGUGCGGUAGGGGAGACUGGAAUUCCUGGUGUAGCGGUGAAAUGCGCAGAUAUCAGGAGAAACACCGGUGGCGAAGGCGGGUCUCUGGGCCGUAACUGACGCUGAGGAGCGAAAGCGUGGGGAGCGAACAGG